GCAUACUUCACUUACCUUACUUCAAAGUAGGUUGUGCCACUGCUGCAUGUUUUCAAGACAUCUAGGGGAGAAAUAAUCAACUCAGAAUAAUUCUCAUGGGAAUGUCAGCUGUUUCAUUUCGGGUUCAGCGUCUACUGAGAAAGGUUUUCUAUUUUACGCUUUACAAUAGGUCCACCUUAAAGCAACUAAGUAUUUGAAGGUGCUAUGGCAAUAUUUGUUUCAAAGAAACAUUGUACCAAACGUAUUCAAAAUGGUUUAAAGUAGAAGCAUGGCUUGACUUUGCCAGCACGUUUUUCAUCUCGUUCAGUCAAGUGCAUAACAUUUUUAUACAAGUGACCCUCUAUAAAAAACAGUUCUUUACAUUCUUUUCUAACAUAAAUUUCCUAGUUUCUUGCAGGUAGCAUAAGGUCUUCGAACUCUACCUGAUGUGCUGUGGUGACCACAGGAAAUUUCUGUGACAGUAUGCAAUGCCACAGAUGUUUUGUUGUCAGUGCAAAUAAAAGAUCUUUAGUAUCA